CGGCCGACGGGUGAGUAAUGCAUAGGAAUCUGCCCGGUAGUGGGGGAUAACCUGGGGAAACUCAGGCUAAUACCGCAUGCGCCCUACGGGGGAAAGCAGGGGAUCUUCGGACCUUGCGCUAUCGGAUGAGCCUAUGUCGGAUUAGCUUGUUGGUGAGGUAAUGGCUCACCAAGGCGACGAUCCGUAGCUGGUCUGAGAGGAUGAUCAGCCACAUCGGGACUGAGACACGGCCCGAACUCCUACGGGAGGCAGCAGUGGGGAAUAUUGGACAAUGGGCGAAAGCCUGAUCCAGCCAUGCCGCGUGUGUGAAGAAGGCUUUCGGGUUGUAAAGCACUUUCAGUGAGGAAGAAAGCCUUGGGGCCAAUACCCCCAAGGGACGACAUCACUCACAGAAGAAGCACCGGCUAACUCCGUGCCAGCAGCCGCGGUAAUACGGAGGGUGCGAGCGUUAAUCGGAAUUACUGGGCGUAAAGCGCGCGUAGGUGGCUUGAUAAGCCGGUUGUGAAAGCCCCGGGCUCAACCUGGGAACGGCAUCCGGAACUGUCAGGCUAGAGUGCAGGAGAGGAAGGUAGAAUUCCCGGUGUAGCGGUGAAAUGCGUAGAGAUCGGGAGGAAUACCAGUGGCGAAGGCGGCCUUCUGGACUGACACUGACACUGAGGUGCGAAAGCGUGGGUAGCAAACAGGAUUAGAUACCCUGGUAGUCCACGCCGUU
rnacentral:rRNA from 1 species